UCCGGCUCAAAAUAUCAGACACACACAAUCAAUUAUUUUGGUCACAAUGCUGAUAAUGUUUGAAGGUGUUAGGGAAACAAGCACCAAGUUACUGAUUAACCAUUACUCCAGCCCAUCAAAAAUGAAUAGAAUUUUAAUGUCAUUAAUGAGGAUUGUCCUAAUGAUUAACCACAUGGUGUCUCAUUUUGUGUCCACAUCAACAGAACCAAAACAUGCAGCAUUAAAGAAAUAAGAUCACACAUCAAUGCCUCUUGGAUCAGCAAAUAUUCUGGUUACAUUUAAUUUUCUGAUAUUUUUUGGCUCAAGCCUGAUGUCCAUCUACAGCGUUACAAGAUUUUGCUCAAGUGCCCCAUCACAGUGCUGCCAAAUGUUCUUUGUGCACUUCACAGUAAAAGUCUGUCAUAUCUGUGACAGUGCGUGCAUAUGAACAUGUAGCGUGUCAACAGUCGCGAUGUUUACCAAAAAUAAAUAUCCUGAAGCAAUCAAGUAAUUCACUAAGGCGCAUGCAACAAAGACAAAGAACACAAACUUGAAACAUGAACUGAAAAGUGAAUCUGAAUAUUUCAAAGAGUGAAACCAGCUCAGGCAGUUUAGCAGACUAAGGGCGUUGCAACAAGUGAAAAUGGUUGUGGGUGGUGAACGGUCUGAAGCUGGUGUAAAAAAAAAAAAAAAAACAUUUAAAUCUAAAAUUAAUAAUUUACAGUCAUCCAAUUUGCAACCAGGCCUAACAAAUCCUGACACACACAAAAAAGGGGUGGGGUUUUGUCAUCCAUCAUAACCUCAGACAGCCACCUUUCAUGUAUCUGUCAUGUAAAAAGACUGAACAUGAAAUGUAAAAAUCUCUUCAAGCACUCAAUAGAAGCUGAAAUACUGAUGAAUGCAAGAAAAUUUAAAGUUUGUGACUGAUUUAACAUUUUGUGUGAUCGGAGAGAAAGGUGUUAGUCAUAUUUUGACAAGGAUAACUGACAAAAGCAGUUUUUUAAGAAAAACGUGCUCUUAUUUUUAUUUCCAUCUCUCUUCCCUUAAUGCAGUUGCGCCAAUGAAAAAGAAAACUGCCUGAUUAGCAAAUAUAUUUUUUGUCUGAGUUGUCUGUUUUACUAAUCAAUAAAGUCUUCUGCUAUUUCACAAUACACAGUUUGAAUUUAUUCAAAGCCUACAGCAUUUCAUGAGUUAAACUAGUCUCUCAGUUGGCCAACUUCAGCACAGCAGUGAGCUAAAAUGAACUUGGUGGCACCUUGGCUGAUUUCCCCAGGCACCUUUCACCUGGCUGCAUUCGGUGCCGAGUAUUCCCGAGCAAGAACACCACUCAAUGAGAGUUGGA